AGUUCUGACAUGAAAGAAGUUCCUGACAGUGAAAGGAAACUGUGUAGUGCCGACUUUGCCCUUUCCCUGAAAGGACGAUAUGAGUGUCAGAUUUAUGACCUGCUAAACGAGGCUGCUGGCCCGAUUGAAAUCUACUGCAGUCUGGACCUCACAGGGCACCCCUAUGAUUGAGAAUGAACUCAGACAGCAUCUGAUGAGGUCGGGCUAUUUGUUGAUUAAUAUACAAAGAGUCACACUAGGACUCCAUUAAUCAAAUGAGAAUGUCACGUUCCGUAUGAUUUACAUGUCGCCUCUCCUCCAGCAAUUCUGUUUCGGACAUGGCACGGGGUGGGAACGGAAGGAUGAGGGAUGAGAAGACAGGAUGAUGAAGGGUAUUUUAGAGAAUGAGUUUACUGUAUGUGAUGUCACUCCUCACAGCAGGACUAUUCGCACAGCAGCGAAGUUUCAUUUCUGUCAUAAAUCUAUCUAUUCAAAAUGUACAGUCAAACACAGCCUGCAGGCGUACAUCAACUUGUUUAUUAGUUUCGGUUGGGAUUGGGCACAGGUUUUCCAAAGAAAUGUACAUAUCAAUUAGAUGGAAUAUAUAAAGAAAGUAUUUUUUUAAAUGCAUUUUGAAAAUAAACAACACAUAAUUAAAAACAGAGAUGAAUUUUGUUUAUAUUGUUUGUUUAUACGCUUAUAUGACUUCUAUGACUAUCUGUGAUCAAGCUAAUUAAUAAUAAUUCUCUUUCAGUUUCAGAUAAUUCUAAUUCACGCCAUGUUUACAUAUUUAUUUGUUUUCAUCAU